rnacentral:sRNA from 1 species
UCACGAGCCCCGUGGCGCUGCCGGACCCCCGACCUGGCAGGGCCACGGGGCUGCUU